AACGAACGCUGGCGGCAUGCCUAACACAUGCAAGUCGAACGAGACCUUCGGGUCUAGUGGCACACGGGUGCGUAACGCGUGGGAACCUGCCUUUAGGUUCGGAAUAACUCUCCGAAAGGGGUGCUAAUACCGAAUAAUGUCUUCGGACCAAAGAUUUAUCGCCUUUAGAUGGGCCCGCGUUGGAUUAGCUAGUUGGUGGGGUAAAGGCCUACCAAGGCGACGAUCCAUAGCUGGUCUUAGAGGAUGANCAGCCACACUGGGACUGAGACACGGCCCCAGACUCCUACGGGAGGCAGCAGUGGGGAAUAUUGGACAAUGGGCAAAGCCUGAUCCAGCAAUGCCGCGUGAGUGAUGAAGGCCUUAGGG
rnacentral:rRNA from 1 species